rnacentral:tRNA from 1 species
GGGCGAUUAGCUCAGUUGGAUAGAGCGUUGGCCUCCGGAGCCAGAGGCCGGGGGUUCGAAUCCCCCAUCGCCCGCCA